rnacentral:rRNA from 1 species
UACGAAGGGGGCUAGCGUUGCUCGGAAUCACUGGGCGUAAAGCGCACGUAGGCGGCUUUCUAAGUCAGGGGUGAAAUCCUGGAGCUCAACUCCAGAACUGCCUUUGAUACUGGAGAGCUAGAGUCCGGAAGAGGUGAGUGGAACUGCGAGUGUAGAGGUGAAAUUCGUAGAUAUUCGCAAGAACACCAGUGGCGAAGGCGGACUCACUGGUCCGGUACUGACGCUGAGGUGCGAAAGCGUGGGGAGCA